rnacentral:tRNA from 2 species
CGGGCGUGGUGGAGCGGGGGCUCAGCACGCUCUUCGGCGGGGUGUGACGGCGCGCCGGACCCGCGCGGGCCCGUGCUCCGCCCCGGGGUGCCCGGC